GAUGAACGCUGGCGGCGUGCCUAAUACAUGCAAGUCGAGCGAACGGACGAGAAGCUUGCUUUUCUGAUGUUAGCGGCGGACGGGUGAGUAACACGUGGAUAACCUACCUAUAAGACUGGGAUAACUUCGGGAAACCGGAGCUAAUACCGGAUAAUAUUUUGAACCGCAUGGUUCAAAAGUGAAAGACGGUCUUGCUGUCACUUAUAGAUGGAUCCGCGCUGCAUUAGCUAGUUGGUAAGGUAACGGCUUACCAAGGCAACGAUGCAUAGCCGACCUGAGAGGGUGAUCGGCCACACUGGAACUGAGACACGGUCCAGACUCCUACGGGAGGCAGCAGUAGGGAAUCUUCCGCAAUGGGCGAAAGCCUGACGGAGCAACGCCGCGUGAGUGAUGAAGGUCUUCGGAGCGUAAAACUCUGUUAUUAGGGAAGAACAUAUGUGUAAGUAACUGUGCACAUCGUGACGGUACCUAAUCAGAAAGCCACGGCUAACUACGUG
rnacentral:rRNA from 1 species